CUUCACUUCACGCGAUCCGGUUUUCCCUAAAAUCGUCGUCUCCCCUUCUCCUGAUCUCCGCGACGCAGCGUUCCACCGCCGCGUCGCUAUCCUCUCCACCUCCGCUACUCCGACGAAGCUUCCACGCUGCGUAUCAAGCUCUGGUCACGCACCACAUAUCGCAGCCAACUUCCGCGGAGGGUAACACGAUCGGAUGGGGAUAGCAAUCAGUGCGGUAGCACUUCGCGAGGGUUCCGGGGGAGGCACGAGGAAGGGAACGACAAGGGAAUGGCAAGUUCAUUCACUAUGUAAUUGUGAGAUCUAUGAGGUAUGGAAUAGAAAUCAAGGAGAUAUUGAAGUACUUAUCUAUGAGGUUCGUUGAUUGAAUGGAUCACGAGUUGUUUCUAUCCCGUGAUGCGCUUGAUUUGAUUCAAGGUUUCUGGGAGAUUCUUGCUGCGGUUUGUGUUUUCCUUGAGGUUCUUGCUUGGGUGGGACGCCACCCAGGAUAUGACGGAAGGCAUGUGGACGGAGUAGGCGAGGAGGCGAGAUGGAUGCAAGGCACUGUCCGGAUAUUUAGAAGUGCAGAGCUUACUUGUACUUUGAGGGAGGUUUUUUAUUUGUAUAGGGAGAUGUUCAAGAAUACAUUGUUCUUAUUUGUUGAGCUCAUGUUUGGGAUGUUGUCAUUUACAUUGGAUAAGAUAGUUUAUUUUGAUGGAAUUGUACUGCGGUUAUCUA